CGUCAAGGCAUUGAAUUAGGAGCGACACCAGUUCAAGAACGCAGUAUUCGUAUCAAAGGUCUGGAAUGUCUCGUUUCUAUUCUUAAAUGUAUGGUAGAAUGGAGCAGGGAUCUUUACUUUAAACCUGAUUCUCAGGUGGACGAUAAUUUUGAUCUGGUUGAUGAUGCACCAACAAUUUCUUGAAAAGGAAGCACCGAGGAGAAUGAAAACGGAGGGGAACCCGGUGAUUUACAAUCUCAAAAAACGGCGGGUAGUCAGUCGUCUCUUAAUAGUACAAAAGCCAUCAAUAA